AAAUCUUUAUCUCAUACCCAAUCUCAGGGCGAUGGCUCUGAAAGUUAAUCAUUAGUUGUGAUAUUUUCUAUAAAUUUUUGUGGAUACUAUUAUCAAAUAAAAAAAUUCCCGUUUAUUAUUUAUUUGCUUAGAGUUUUUAUCUUUUAUUGAUGUUGAAUUAUGUCAAGUGCUCCUCUGUAUAUCUGAAAUAAACAUACAAUUGCUGCCAUUUAUUACUUUAAUGUGGCAAAGAACAUGACAAUUGUUCCAAUAUUGAAUGUAUCUUUAUAUUUUUGGAACUAAGCAAAAUUCAGCAUAAUAUGCUGCCCAUUGUUUAUAUUGGUGGUUUUGAUUUUCUAGUAUUACGUUUAGCAUUUAGUACCUGUGCUCGUAAAUGAGAUUAAACUGCAAUUUUUUAAAGGAAUUGUCCAAGAACAAGAAGAAGAAUGAAUGACAAAAACAUAACUACCAUUUCAGACGACCGUGAAAUCCAUGAUUCCAAACUAUAUAAUGCAGGGAAGAAUUACCCUAAGUAAUAAAGGCUGGACAAGGUCAUUGGCUGGGAUUAUUUUGAAAAUAUUUAAUAAAAAGAACGCCUCAGGAAUUAACCAAUUGGAACAGAUUUUGUGGCUAAUCAAAACAGAUACUAAUCAUUAAAAAACAAAAAUCAAACUGAAAUAUCUCUGGCACAUUCUAUUGGCUACAACCCAGCAUUAGUCCUCGAGGCCUAGUCCAGGAAAAAAACAGGGAGUGAUGCUGUAGGCCGUACUACAGAACUAGGAGUAAAGCAAAUGUUAAAGAGAAAGCAUAUGUUAAAAUCUCAGAAAAUGUAGACGUGCUAUAACUACAAAAAAUAACUAAAGGGGAAUGAAGAGUGAAAAAUGUAGUGAAAUAACCUGUUUCCUCAUCUUUUAAAAUUUAGUGUUAACAAUAACUCUUUAAUAGAUAAAAUAUUGAAGAUGGCCCAUUAGAAGCAGUGGCAGUGCCAAAUUGUUUUCCAGUUUAUAUUCCUAUAAGCAAUUUUUGAGGAUUUCAUUUGUUUAAUAUCCUCUCCUACAUUUUUAUAUUGUCAGUAUUUUAAAACAUUAGAUAUUUUGAUGGAUGGAUGAUAGUAUCUCACUGUGGCUUUAAUUUGUACUUCCUUGAUGAGUAACGAUGGUGAGCAUGUUUUCAUGCACUUAUUUCCCAUUUGAUAAUUCUCUCUUAAGUGACUGUUAAUGUCUUUUGUCCAUUUAUUUGUUGGGUUGUCUGUCUUUAUCUUACUAACUUUUAGAAGCUCUUUAGAUCUUUAGACAUUAAGUAUAUGAGUACCUUUCCAAAAAUAUGCAAAUAUCUUCUCCUGAUUUGUGCUUAUCUCUUUUACUCACUUUUUCUGAUGAAUGGAAAUCCUUAAUCUUAAUAGUGUCUAAUUUAUUUUGUUUGUUUUUUUUUACUUUGGGUUAGUGCUUUUAAUUUCUUAUUAAAAAUUUCAUACUUUACUGUCAAAAGUUAUUUUCCUAUGUUUUCUUCUAAAACUUUUAUGUUUUACUUAUCAGUUUUGUCUGUAAUCCAUCUAGCAUUGAUCUUUGAGUGCAGUGUGAAGAAAAUGUCAAGAUGACUUUUAAAAUAUUUUUAAGCAAUAAAUAGGCAUUCAGUGGCAUUCAGUGGGGAGGAGAAUUGUUUUAGAAUGACUCAAAAUCUAGAUUCCUUUAAGGAAGCAUUUAUGAUAAAUUUGACAACACAAAGCCAAAAAGAAAACAAUCAGUUUCUUUGAAAAAAAUUAUGAAGAAUGUCAAAGAACAAACACUAAAUUGGAGAAUAACAUUUUGCAUGAAUGAUUCUCUCAUUUUUUGCAUGUGGUAGCAUCUACAAAUCAACAGGAAAAAUACCAAUUACUCAAUAUCAUUUUUAUAUAUUAGUUAAGAUAUAGAUGAAGCUUCUGUAACAAAUGUCAAAAUAACAAUAGCUAAAACAAGACAGCUUUUAAAAUUAGUUUCGUGUGUGUGUGUCAUAAAAUCAUGUGUGUAUAAGCAGGCCAGGCCUUCUACUGUUGUCUGGUCUUCCAAAAAAUAUGAUUUCUAUUCAAGGCUUAAAAUAGCUGGUCUGUCUUCCUCCAUGUUGUACAAAUAUUAGUCAGUAUCAAAAAGAUAAGGCAGUGAGAAGAGAUAUCCCUUUUCAAAAAACAACUGAGAGGUCACACACGUUUCUCUUUGCAUCCCUUCUGUGAAAAUUUAGCCAUCUACCCACAGGGAAAGUUGGAAAUGAUUAUUCAAUAAAUGACAAAGGGGAAUACAACUAUUGAAGGCUCUAGGAUUCUCUUUUUUCCAGGGAAAGACAUAUUGACAUUUCAUAGAAAUUGGAUCUCAAACACAAUAAAAUGACAAGAUUAAUCUAAGGAAAAUGUAAAUUUUAACCUCAAAUAUGUAUUGUUUUAACCUACCUCAUGGGCAAAGAUCUAAAGUUUUGAUUCUACAUGUUGUGGGCAACGGUAGGGGAAAGAGGCACUUUUUCUAUGUCUACACCCACCUGAAGAAAACAUAAGCUGAAAUACUGUCUAUUGCAGUUACAAUAUUUAUAAAAAUUUUAAAUUCACAUAUCCUUUCACCUAGAUAUUCUACUGCCAGUUAUUUAGCUUCUGCAAAUCCAAGCAACAUAACAGGUGUGCCAGGAAACUCAGGACAGCAUUGAAAAUAAUAUACAUGUUUAUUAACUGAGGCAGCUUCUUAUCAAUCAUGUUCUGGUGGAAUACUAUGCACAACUAAAAAAGAGUAUGGCAGUUGUAUUUAAAGUGAUAAAAAAAUAAAAUGCUAUUCUAUGUAAGAACUUUUUUUUUCUUUUUUUUUGAGACGGAGUCUCGCUCUGUC
rnacentral:lncRNA from 10 species